rnacentral:rRNA from 1 species
UACGUAGGGGGCAAGCGUUGUCCGGAUUUAUUGGGCGUAAAGAGCGUGUAGGCGGCCACACAGGUCUGCUGUGAAAACUCGAGGCUCAACCUCGAGCUGUCGGUGGAAACCGUGUGGCUAGAGUCCGGAAGAGGAGAGUGGAAUUCCCGGUGUAGCGGUGAAAUGCGUAGAUAUGCGGAGGAACACCGAUGGCGAAGGCAAUCCCCUGGACCUGUACUGACGCUCAUGCACGAAAGCGUGGGGAGCAAACAGG